rnacentral:rRNA from 1 species
AGCGAACGCUGGCGGCAGGCUUAACACAUGCAAGUCGAGCGGGCGUAGCAAUACGUCAGCGGCAGACGGGUGAGUAACGCGUGGGAACAUACCUUUUGGUUCGGAACAACACAGGGAAACUUGUGCUAAUACCGGAUAAGCCCUUACGGGGAAAGAUUUAUCGCCGAAAGAUUGGCCCGCGUCUGAUUAGCUAGUUGGUGAGGUAACGGCUCACCAAGGCGACGAUCAGUAGCNGGUCUGAGAGGAUGAUCAGCCACAUUGGGACUGAGACACGGCCCAAACUCCUACGGGAGGCAGCAGUGGGGAAUAUUGGACAAUGGGCGCAAGCCUGAUCCAGCCAUGCCGCGUGAGUGAUGAAGGCCCUAGGGUUGUAAAGCUCUUUUGUGCGGGAAGAUAAUGACGGUACCGCAAGAAUAACGCCCCGGCUAACUUCGUGCCAGCAGCCG